rnacentral:lncRNA from 1 species
AUUUUUUUUUUCCCCAACAGAGACCCAUAAAGAAUACACCUCAUCUUUAGAUCAUAUGCAUCUCAUCCUGAAAUGCCUUUCUCAUAGAAUAUACUCAUUCCUUCCACAUCUGAAAUAGAUCGCUACACUUUUCUUCUUGUUCCCUUUUUUCUUUUCUCUUUUGCAACUCCUGGCAAUAACAGAAACCGUGCUCUCUCUACUUGACAUCUGGCUGUACUCCCAGAGCUCCCACUCCCGUGUGGCACAUCUUUGUGCUUGCUCUGGGUGCUGCAGCGCCCAGCAUAUUGUUGGCCAGAGGUCCUGAAAGGAGCUGGAGUGGUGAAGGAUGAAGAGACGGCAAUGCAUGGGUUUAGAAUAGUGGCUGACAAACUUGGCUACAGAUUAGAAUCCUCUGGGGAGCUUUUGUAAUACACUGAUGCACAGCUCCAGAUUGACUUAACUGAGCAGAAAAUCUCUCCAGGUGACUGCAGCGUGCAGCCAGGUCAAAGCGCUCCUCCGGAAGUCUACCAAGGUUUACCGAGUACACAGAACCAGCAGAGGAAGCCGCUGCAGGAGCACAGAGGAGCCUCCCAGCAGGACCAUCCCUGCGCUCUCUCUAACCUUGCAUAGGAAAAAUGAGGAGCAUGACUGGGUCUGUGGAAGCAGGGUAAGACGUUGCUUGCAUGUCUCCCUGGGAUCUGAGUUUGACCUCUUCUGGAGAGAGGAGUAUUUCAUGAGGAUUUCAUCACUGCCCACCUUAGCUAAAUUUCAAGUCAGCGAGCAUUAUGGAAGUAGUGGGAGGGAAAGAAGGAAGAAACCUGUCACACCAGAGAUUUGGCUUCUUGGAUGUGUUAGCUGGCACCCACAGAUCCACUGUGAAGGAGCUAAACUCAUCAUUAGCCUAAUCUAUGACAUGUGGUAUUCUGCUUAAAAUAAACUUGUUUUCAUGUCUCUACAUUUCAAUUUUCUUCUCUAUUAGGUUUCUAUGGUAUCUUAUUGUAUUCACUCUUUGUAUUACAAAGUCUUUUGUGGAGAAAAAUUAAAAGGCUGUGAAUAUUGUUAACAAAAGGGAAAACGAUGAAGUAUGAGAUCUCACGUUUAUUGAGCACUUGCCACGUGUAAGGUAUUUUAGUUUAUUUUUUUUUUGCUGAGGAGGAUUAGCCCUGAGCUAACCUCUGUUGCCAAUCUUCCUCCACUUUGUAUGUGGGAUGCCUCCACAGCAUGGCUGAUGAGUGGAGUAGGUCUGUGUCCAAGAUCCAAACCCCUGAACCCAGGCCACCGCACACGGAACUUUAACCAGCCACAGGGCUGGCCCCCACAUGUGAGGUAUUUUCCUAACUGCUUCACAGUAUUCUAGCGUUGACUAGUUACAACAGCCUUACAAGGUGGGCAGUAUUAUCAUUCCCAUUUGACAGAUGUGGAAACAGAAGUGCAGAGAAGUUAAGUAAUGUGUGCAGGGUUGUGGAGUGAGGAGAAGCAUAGGGUCUGAACUUCUUAACGAGUUCUGUUAACAUUACUAUCCUGAUUCAUUAACAUGUCCUCUCCAACAAAUUCAAAGAUGCUCCCAGAGCAGGUACUUGGGUUUAUUACUAGUACAUAGUGAGAACUGACCUUAGUCAAUAACUCAGCCACAUUCUCUAAUUGCAUUUUUUUUUUUAAACAUGAGCCACAUAUUUCUAUUCUUCCAAAGUGGUAUUUUAUUUUUUUAUUAUUUUUUUAAUUGCAGUAACAUUGGAUUAUAACAAUAUAUAGCUUUCAGAUGUACAUCAUGAAAGUGGUGUUUUAAAAUACCACUUAAAUAUAGUUAACUGUGCUUGUUGCAUUUAAAUUAUAGCACGAUUCUUUCCUGGGAAUAUAAAUUCAGAAAUACGAUGUGAGGAUGACAGAAGUCUCAGGCUAGAAUGCAAUAACAUGAUUAAGCUCUGUUUAAAUACUUGUUUCACUGUUAGGUUUGAGUGUCCAGUUUACACUACAUGCAUAUGCAAGAUGGCUGCAUCUUAGGCAAUCUUCUCUUUGUCCAUACUGGAACACAUAAACUUUUAAGGAUGUAGAUGAAAUGGUCAAGGAUUUUUUUUUUCUGCUUUCAUGUUUUAUGAAGCAAUUCAAAAUUCUUUGAUGUAGAAAAUCCAAAAUCCAUGAACUAAAUUGUUUACUUGAACCUGUGGUAAGUAUUUUUGUCAUCCCAAGAACCACUUCAAGUUUUCUUACAUAUUCUCAGAGGACACAUUCUUCAUUUCAAUCUGUGUUGUUUGAGAUAUCACUAGAAAUUUUAUCCUAAGCCAGGAAUACUUUCAAAAAUCAUUUGCAUAACACUAGCACAAUAAUUUCAGUCGUUGUGUAAAUCUGGACUUUUUACCUUCACCCACUUGACCAUAUUGCAUUUUAAAAUAAUACUUGAAAGGCUUGUUUACAGUGAUAAACAAAACCUACCACUGUGAAAUAUACCAUAGGAAUAACCACUACAUGACACUAAAUUUCUUUAUUUUUAAAGAUUUUUUUAGGUGAUUUCUAUAAACGUCUCCAACUAACAUUGAUUCAGGUUGUUUUAGGGUACUAAUACGUCUUGAUAAAUAAAUGACAAGCAGUAGGUUAUAUUAGAGUAUAUGAGGAAGCCAUUUUGGCCUGACUUUGUUUUUCCAGAAAGGCCUGAUGUGGCCUGUGGAGCAUGAAUUGUACAUCUGCUUUAAACAUUUACAAUGUCUCAAAGACAAGAAUGAUGCCCUUAAAGAUAGGGAUGUUGCUUCCCCCCAUAGCGACAUUUCCUUAAAGAUAAGCAUCUUUCCCUGGAAACUAGGGAUUGACUACUGACCUGCUGUGCUAGCAAAGCAAGCUCAUGACUGCUGUAAAAGGGACGUUCCCGUCAUAUGUGAUGUGUGCUCUUUGUUCCAAGACCGUAUAUAACUGCUCUGUACACCCUACUUCUUUGGUGCCCUUCCUUCCUUGAUGAAGGAAGCCCUCUGGGCUAUAGUCCUCAGACCUAGCUCAUAAUAAAUUCACCCCAAAUUUUGAUUUAUAGCUUGAUUAUGGAUUAUUUGCAUCAACAGUCUUCUAACAGUUCUUUGUAGCUAUAGUAAAGUAGUUAAAGUAAUUGAUAAAGCCUAACCACAAUUAGAAACACUAUAUAAGGAUGCACUAUAAAACCCCUUCAACUAUGACUUUCAUGCUACUUGAAUGUUAAGUACAACAUGACCUGCCCAUCCAUUAGGGUUGAAGCAGAACCCUUCAUGCAAAACCAGAGUGUGAUGGAUAAGGAGUCCCCUGAAGCCAAAACCGCUUCUACCUUUUCUUUCUGUAGUUGGGCACAAAUUCAAGGGCAAACAGCAAGAAAUAAGAAAGAAGUUGGAGGACAGAGAGAGAGACAGACAGACAGAGAGAGACAGAGAGAGAAUGAACUUGUACAUAUUCAUUGACUCAGAGGUACCCCAGGCUCUGCUGCCCUCCUUCCUUCUUCCUCCAUGUUCCUUCCAGGGAGCAGCAGUUGGAACUCUGCUCCCUCCUGUAUACUCCCAGGUUUCCUGUUUAGCUGGUUGACAUCUUGAUUCUUUUUCUUUUCAAGGCAGGUCUGCCUUGAUGUCAGUAUAAAAAAUAUUGUACAUUAAAGUAUGACAGACAUUUACGGUACACAAAUCUUAGGUCUACAACUCAAUGAAUUUUACAUAUAUAUCACCUGAAUAGCCGCCACUCAGAUGAAGAUGUCACUUUCCGACAUUGCUUCCUGGUCAAUACCCCCAGGUAACUAUUAUCCUGGCAUCUAUCACUACGGUUUAGUUUUGCCUGCUUGUGAAUGCUGUCAUAUUUCUUUGUAAAUUUGGUUGCAAAUAUUAUACUACACAGUCUGUUGUGUCUGAAUUCUUUCAUUUGUGCUUCUUUGUGAGAUUUAUCCUUGUUGUUGCCUGCUGUUUAUUCUCAUUUUCGCAUAGUAUUUCAUUGCACAAUUUUACCACAAUCUAUCCUUUCUUCUUUUGAUGGGCAUUUAGGUUGUUUCCAGUUUCUGGCUAUUACCGAAAAAGCGCCUAUGAACAUUCUUGUACUUGUCUUUUGAUAGAUAUAAACACUCAUUUCUUUUGGAUAUAUACCCAGGAAUGAAACUGCUGGGUUGUAAGGUAUGCGUAUGUUUAGCUCUAGUGAGUUCUCCAAAUAUUUUUGCAAAGUGGUUGUGCCAUUUUACAUUCUCACCAUCAGUUUUGAGAGUUCUAGUUUCUCCACAUUUUUGUUAACAUUCGGUUUUGUCAGUCAUUAAGCUUUUCCAGUCCUUGUAUAGAGUGGUAUCGUUCUAGUUUUAAUUUGCAUUUCUCUGGUGAAUAAUAAGGGAGAGCACAUCUGUUUGGGAAUGUUUGUGAAAGGGGAUUGGGGCAUGAUGCAGCAUAUACCAUCUUUAAGAUCCUCAGAAAGAGUCUGUCUGUGAUUUCCUGGAGGCGAGCUUUCCGGUGUGGCCACAUUUUCAGAGGGAUUUGGAAUAGACUAACAUGCAAACCUAAAUAGUAAAUAGGUGGCUUUCAUGAUGCGAACAGAGCUAGGGUUUUGGU